ensembl:snRNA U1 U1 spliceosomal RNA
AUACUUACCUAGCAGGAGAGGACGCUUGAUCUUGAAGAUGUUUUUCCCAGGGUGAGACUUAUCCAAUGCCCUCCAAUGAGCUGAACUUGCAAUUUCUCCAAAUGUGGGGAACUCCACCACAUAAAUUUUGAUGGUGGGGGACUGCUUGCCCUCUUCCCUG